GGGGACUUAACUCAGCGGUAAAAGUGCUUGCCUGGCAAGCAUGAGGUCAUGAGUUCGAUCCCUGGUACCCU
rnacentral:tRNA from 1 species